rnacentral:lncRNA from 1 species
AGAGACGGGUACAGAUACACUGGAAAGAGGGGCUUGGAGAGGGAGACAGGGCCAGACAUGUUCUAGCAGAGAGAUGGUAUAUUACUCCCUUCUCACGCUGCUAAGAAGGAAUACCUGAGACUGGGUAAUUUAUAAAGAAAAGAGGUUUAAUUGACUCACAGUUCCGCAUGGCUGUGGCGGGGGGGCGGCCACAAGAAACUUAACAAUCAUGGCAGAAGGACCUCUUCACAGGACAGCAGGAGAGAGAACGAGUACCAGCAGGGGAAAUGCCAGAUGCUUAUAAAACCAUCAGAUCUUGUGAGAACUCACUCACCAUCACAAGAACAGUAUGGGGGAAGCAGCCCCCUUCAUUCAAUUACCUCCCGCCGGAUCCCUCCCACAACACAUGGUGAUUAUGGGGAUUACAAUUCAAGAUGAGAUGUGGGCGGGGACACAGACAAACCACAGGAGAUGUGUGAAGAUUGCUUGUGGCUUAUCAGUGGUCCCUUUCUGCCUUAAGGGUGAUGGAAUCAAAAAGAACUUCUCCAUCCUUGGCUUUGAUAUUUCAGGCGCACAAACAAGGCCUCAUUCACCCUUCCCAGAGCUGAUCCACUGGCGUGAUUUGCUCUAAUGCCAACAUCACCACCCCUCCCCAGAGGCCCUGCCAGCCUCUACUCUCCCAGGAAGUCAGCCCCACUCUGCUGGCUAGUCCUGGCUCUCUACUGUCUUUCUGGGCCCAUCAUGGCUCCCUGACCACCCAACUCUGAAACAAUCUCCCGGUCCAGGGCAUCCCAGGAACCAGGUCAUUGAUGGAGCCGCUAUUUGGCAGUUGCAGGUGGGGCAGGAAUGGUAUGGGGAAGUAGAGGCAGAAUGAAAUGGCCUGGAAGAAGUUACCCUUUUUGGAUGAGUUCAAAACCCCUAGGGCUGAUGCACCCAACCCCUGCUCUGUCAUUCGUGACCUGCUCUUUCUAGAGCAAAAUAUCAUGGGAUGGGAGGGCCCUCUGAAUCUUUUCCUGUGAAGUUGACUUUGAUGAUAUGUUGGUCCUUUUGUCAAGCCUGAGCUGCUGUGGUCUGAUGCUGAGUGUCUCACCUGUAACAUCUCAGCACAUAACACUCCACAGUGAGAGCCUUCCUUCUGCCCCUGGGAGGGAGAGCUUUACAGAAGUAUUUCCAAGCAAAUUUCCAGAAGGCCUCAAAGUAAGCAGCAGAAGCCGCUGCUGGUGUCAGCAGCAAAUCAGCACUCAGCUUGAGGCCUCCCAGCCUGCCCCGGGAGGGGCACGGCUCGCAGCCUUUGCACUCUGGGUUCUUUCCAGGGAGGAUCCCAUGGGGCACUUCCAGGAAGGAGCCCCUGCUGCUUUCUCCAAAGAGCUCUGCUUCGGGUCUCUAAGGAUUGGUUUUAUCUGCAGAGAAGCUAAAGGAAGGAAUCUACUGGUCCCCUAAGGACCUGAUGACACAUGCACAGAGAUCCCAUCUCUCUUUUCAUUCCCUGAAGUAAGGGAGGCAAUGAAGCCAUACGUGUACCACAAAGAGUGUGAGAAAGAAGGAACUCUCCAGCCGGGGUCUUUCUCUGAGUCAUUUUUCAGUCGUAGGGUACAAAAAGCUCCAGGUUAUAUUCAAGGUUUUAUUUUUUCCAGAGUAUCUUCGGGGAAAAAAAGUAUAUCUGAAAAUCACAGAAAUUCUUUUCUUUCAAGGUAAAUUAGAGGAUUUGAAGGGGCAGUGCUGGAUGAUCUCUGGGUUCCCCUCUAGUCCAACACCCAGACUCUGAGAUUGCUUCCCUGUGGGAGCUCGGCCUGGCCUCCUUCCAUGGGCGUUUCUUCCAACGUGGAGGUUUGUCAGUGGCGUGCCUGAUGGCCAGGGCCAGAUGCUGUUCUUCACACCAGAACGUCAUAAUUUAAAAUGUCUAUGCUCUGAAGCAAGAAAUCAGAGCUUCAAACCUAAAACUUGUAGGAUUUACAAAGCAGUUUCAUUCCACCAACAUCUAUUGAGUACUCAUUAUGGGCCAGGUACAGAGAUGAGAAGUGGGUCUGAGAACAGUCCCUGCCCCCAAGUAGUUCACAAAUCUCAUUGUGAAGAGGCAGGCACAGAAAAUCUAUCCAUCUGGUAGCGGCCAACCCAAGCCAGGUAGGCAAUACUUUCCCUCAUAGAGUUAGAGGGUAGUUUAAAGAAACUGCCACCCAGAGGGAACGGCGGUGAGGUUUUAGGAAUUAUGAUUCCUUUCCUAAAUUUCUUUGCUAUUUGUUAUGAGCUACACAAAUGUUUAUACACAAGUCUUAAAGUUUUGGCUGAUUAGAAUAUUUUCAAUAAAGAGAGAAUUUCUACUU